CCUACGGGUGGCAGCAGUGAGGAAUAUUGGUCAAUGGCCGCAGGCCUGACCCAGCCAAGUCGCGUGAGGGAUGACGGCCCUCUGGUUUGUAAACUUCUUUUGUAAGGGAGCAACGUGCGACACUUGUGGCUCUUUGCGCGUACUUUAAGAACAAGCAUCGGCUAACUCCGUGCCAGCAGCCGCGGGAAUACGUAGGAUGCGAGCGUUAUCCGGAUUUAUUGGGGGUAAAGGGAGGGCAGGUGGGAUGUCAAGUCAGUGGUGAAAGUUCGGGGGUCAACCCCGGGAGUGCAUUUGAAAUGGGCGUUCUUGAGUGAUGGAGAGGUAGGCGGAAUGCGGGGUGUAGCGGUGAAAUGCGUAGAUAUCACGAAGAACACCGAUGGCGAAGGCAGCAUACUGGCCCGCAACUGACGCUGAUGCGCGAAAGCGUGGGUAGCGAACAGGAUUAGAUACCCGAGUAGUC
rnacentral:rRNA from 1 species